rnacentral:lncRNA from 1 species
AUUAAAUCAAAAUUUUAAAUAAAAAAUACCCAGUAAUGUUCUGAGAGGAAUUUUAAGUAUUUAUUUCAUUUUUAGAUGAAUUCAAGAUUACUAACCAUGUCACCAGGAGCAGAAACAAGGAGUUUCCUUGAUUUCACUAGCUAAAAAUUGUUAAAAGCCCAUCGAAAAAUAGUAUGAUAAUUGAUGUUAAAACAUAAACAGUAAUUCAGCAAAGUAACAAGCGUGGCACCUAUGAGUUAGUACCUCAGUGUAAAAAGUGUUAAUAUAAACCAAGAGACCACAGUGAUUUUUUAAAAAUCGGCAAAGGAUACGAACAGAUCACGCACAAAAGGGAAAAUAUAAGUGGAUAAAAAUCAAAUAAAAAUCCUGCAGGCUAAUUAGUAAUCAAGGAAAUAUUACUGCUGUAAGAAAUUACCAUACAUUUAGUGACUUAAAACAGCACAGAUUUGUCACCUUAUAUUUCUGUUGGUUAUAAACUUACGCACGUCUCACUGUCUAAAAUCAAGAUGUUGGCAGGACCAUGUUCCUUACUAGAGGGUCUGAAAGAGACUCUGUUGCCUUGAUUUUUCACCUUCUAGGAUCCUUCCACAUUUCAUGCCUCAUGACCACUUCCACACAGCCGUCUCUCUGCUUCUCUGGCCAUUUCCCACAACCUGGAGAGGUUCUCCACUUCUAAGAUGUUUUUUCUCAUGUGCAGGCUGUUUACUGAAGGGCCACACAGCAUGUUACAUUCACUCCAUAGACAUUCCUGGGAGUCACGUGCAUGCACUGCAGUCGAAGAUGAGAACUAUUGAAUGCUUACCCAGUGCCAGGCCUGUGUCUCCACGCCUCUCGCCUGCCCCACCUAAGCACCCCAUGAGGUCGACACUGUGGUCACCCACCCUUGGCAGGUGCAGUGCUGAGGUGAGGAGGUUAAUGACUUGGUUGGCCCGUCUGACUCAGAAGCAUUGUCUUGCUUACCCUCAUUGUGCUGGGACAGCAGCAAGGGAACCACCUCAGAGGUGCUCUGGAGAAAGUGACCAGCACCCACCCUUCCACGCUGCCAGGGGGUCUUCAAUGUGUCCAGUUUUCUCCUCCUGGCUGUGGGUCUCUAGUGUUUAUCUAAAUGUUCCUCCUCCCUCAGACCCUACCUUGAUUUCUCCUCUCCCACUGGGGGUGGGCUGGCCUCCUACUCUCUGA